AACGAACGCUGGCGGCAUGCCUAAUACAUGCAAGUCGAGCGGAGUUGUCCCUUCGGGGCGAGCUUAGCGGCGGACGGGUGAGUAACACGUAGGCAACCUGCCUGCAAGGCUGGGAUAACAUCCGGAAACGGAUGCUAAUACCGGAUACGCAAUUUUGCCGCAUGGCGGAAUUGGGAAAGGCCGAGAAAUCUGCCGCUUGCCGAUGGGCCUGCGGCGCAUUAGCUAGUUGGUGGGGUAACGGCUCACCAAGGCGACGCUUCGUAGCCGACCUGAGAGGGUGAUCGGCCACACUGGGACUGAGACACGGCCCAGACUCCUACGGGAGGCAGCAGUAGGGAAUCUUCCGCAAUGGACGAAAGUCUGACGGAGCAACGCCGCGUGAGUGAUGAAGGUUUUCGGAUCGUAAAGCUCUGUUGCCAGGGAAGAACGCUUGGGGGAGUAACUGCCCUUAAGGUGACGGUACCUGAGAAGAAAGCCCCGGCUAACUACGUGCCAGCAGCCGCCGUAA
rnacentral:rRNA from 1 species